rnacentral:rRNA from 1 species
AUGAACGCCGGCGGCGUGCCUCAUACAUGCAAGUCGAGCGAACAGACGAGGAGCUUGCUCCUCUGACGUUAGCGGCGGACGGGUGAGUAACACGUGGAUAACCUACCUAUAAGACUGGGAUAACUUCGGGAAACCGGAGCUAAUACCGGAUAAUAUAUUGAACCGCAUGGUUCAAUAGUGAAAGACGGUUUUGCUGUCACUUAUAGAUGGAUCCGCGCCGCAUUAGCUAGUUGGUAAGGUAACGGCUUACCAAGGCAACGAUGCGUAGCCGACCUGAGAGGGUGAUCGGCCACACUGGAACUGAGACACGGUCCAGACUCCUACGGGAGGCAGCAGUAGGGAAUCUUCCGCAAUGGGCGAAAGCCUGACGGAGCAACGCCGCGUGAGUGAUGAAGGUCUUCGGAUCGUAAAACUCUGUUAUUAGGGAAGAACAAAUGUGUAAGUAACUAUGCACGUCUUGACGGUACCUAAUCAGAAAGCCACGGCUAACUACGUG